GUGCUCACUUCAGCAGCAUAUACACUAAAAUUGAAACAGUACAGAGAAGAUUAGCAUGGCCCCUGCGCACAAAUUCGUGAAGCGUUCCUUAUUUCU
ensembl:snRNA U6 U6 spliceosomal RNA